rnacentral:piRNA from 1 species
UGUCAGGUGUCAUUGUGGUUCCCAUUGUGU